rnacentral:siRNA from 1 species
UUUAAACCUACUAUGCUUAAGAGA